AUAGUACUCCCUCCGCUCCAAAAUUCUUGUCUUAGAUUUGUCUAAAUACGAAUGUAUCUAUUCAUGUUAUAGUAUUUAGAUACAUCUAUUUCUAGACAAACCUAAGACAAGAAUUUUGGAACGGAGGGAGUAGAUA
rfam:Hordeum vulgare subsp. vulgare, WGS project CAJW01000000 data, contig: morex_contig_2551968